rnacentral:rRNA from 1 species
AGAGUUUGAUCCUGGCUCAGAAUCAACGCUGGCGGCGUGCCUAACACAUGCAAGUCGAACGAGAAAGUGGAGCAAUCCAUGAGUAAAGUGGCGCACGGGUGAGUAACACGUGACUAACCUACCCUUGAGUGGGGGAUAACUGAGGGAAACCUUAGCUAAUACCGCAUAAUACCCACGGGUCAAAGGAGCAAUUCGCUCGAGGAGGGGGUCGCGGCCGAUUAGUUAGUUGGCGGGGUAAUGGCCCCCCAAGACGAUGAUCGGUAUCCGGCCUGAGAGGGCGCACGGACACACUGGAACUGAAACACGGUCCAGACUCCUACGGGAGGCAGCAGUGGGGAAUUUUUGCGCAAUGGGGGAAACCCUGACGCAGCAACGCCGCGUGGAGGAUGAAGUACUUCGGUACGUAAACUCCUUUCGAUCGGGACGAUAAUGACGGUACCGAGAGAAGAAGCCCCGGCUAACUUCGUGCCAGCAGCCGCGGUAAUACGAGGGGGGCGAGCGUUGUUCGGAAUUAUUGGGCGUAAAGGGUGCGUAGGCGGUUUGGUAAGUCUGAUGUGAAAUCUAUGGGCUCAACUCAUAGUCUGCAUCGGAAACUGCCGGGCUUGAGUGUGGGAGAGGUGAGUGGAAUUUCCGGUGUAGCGGUGAAAUGCGUAGAUAUCGGAAGGAACACCUGUGGCGAAAGCGGCUCACUGGACCACAACUGACGCUGAUGCACGAAAGCUAGGGGAGCAAACAGGAUUAGAUACCCUAGUAGUCC